rnacentral:rRNA from 1 species
GCAAGUCGAGGGGCAGCAUUUCAGUUUGCUUGCAAACUGGAGAUGGCGACCGGCGCACGGGUGAGUAACACGUAUCCAACCUGCCGAUAACUCGGGGAUAGCCUUUCGAAAGAAAGAUUAAUACCCGAUGGUAUAAUUAGACCGCAUGGUCUUGUUAUUAAAGAAUUUCGGUUAUCGAUGGGGAUGCGUUCCAUUAGGCAGUUGGUGAGGUAACGGCUCACCAAACCUUCGAUGGAUAGGGGUUCUGAGAGGAAGGUCCCCCACAUUGGAACUGAGACACGGUCCAAACUCCUACGGGAGGCAGCAGUGAGGAAUAUUGGUCAAUGGGCGCAGGCCUGAACCAGCCAAGUAGCGUGAAGGAUGACUGCCCUAUGGGUUGUAAACUUCUUUUAUAUGGGAAUAAAGUUUUCCACGUGUGGAAUUUUGUAUGUACCAUAUGAAUAAGGAUCGGCUAACUCCGUGCCAGCAGCCGCGGUAAUACGGAGGAUCCGAGCGUUAUCCGGAUUUAUUGGGUUUAAAGGGAGCGUAGGUGGACAGUUAAGUCAGUUGUGAAAGUUUGCGGCUCAACCGUAAAAUUGCAGUUGAUACUAGCUGUCUUGAGUACAGUAGAGGUGGGCGGAAUUCGUGGUGUAGCGGUGAAAUGCUUAGAUAUCACGAAGAACUCCGAUUGCGAAGGCAGCUCACUGGACUGCAACUGACACUGAUGCUCGAAAGUGUGGGUAUCAAACAGGAUUAGAUACCCUGGUAGUCCACACAGUAAACGAUGAAUACUCGCUGUUUGCGAUAUAC